UGAGAGGAAGGUCCCCCACAUUGGAACUGGGACACGGUCCAAACUCCUACGGGAGGCAGCAGUGAGGAAUAUUGGUCAAUGGACGAGAGUCUGAACCAGCCAAGUAGCGUGAAGGAUGACUGCCCUAUGGGUUGUAAACUUCUUUUAUACGGGAAUAAAGUGAGGCACGUGUGCCUUUUUGUAUGUACCGUAUGAAUAAGGAUCGGCUAACUCCGUGCCAGCAGCCGCGGUAAUACGGAGGAUCCGAGCGUUAUCCGGAUUUAUUGGGUUUAAAGGGAGCGUAGGCGGACGCUUAAGUCAGUUGUGAAAGUUUGCGGCUCAACCGUAAAAUUGCAGUUGAUACUGGGUGUCUUGAGUACAGUAGAGGCAGGCGGAAUUCGUGGUGUAGCGGUGAAAUGCUUAGAUAUCACGAAGAACUCCGAUUGCGAAGGCAGCCUGCUGGACUGUAACUGACGCUGAUGCUCGAAAGUGUGG
rnacentral:rRNA from 1 species